GACAAGAUGUGAUAUACAUUCGAGCAGUUUGAGUUCGGGCAAAAUAAUCACAGCCCUGUUAGCCUUGUUUUCACACACAGAGGGUGCUGAAUAUAACAGGAUGUGCAAACAUGAAAGCAUAAAACAUAGAUGUCAAAUACACAAUUAUGCGAAACGGCAUUCUAUAUAAGAAGCCGUUUUACAGAAAUUCGGUCUCUUUUAACAAAUAGUGAUCCAAGUAGGAAGUAGAGUGCGCGCGCCUGUAAAUAUUAUAUUUAAUGGUUACGUGAAAAUGUUAUUGGUUAAAAUUAGUAAAGUUAUGUUAUACUUGUUAGAAGAAACAGUGUGUUGAAACAUAAUUAGUAUGUUAAGCUAGCUACGAACAGUGAUACAAACAAAUAACGAAUACAACAAACAAGCGAAAACAAUAGAAAAAGGUCCACGUCAAGGGACCUUUUUCUUUUGUACUCUAGUCCAAGAUCUUCAGUGCAGUGCCGUCGGUGUGCCUUCCGGGAAGAUCAAGCCAGCUCUCGUUGCCCUGGUUCCGUUGAUGUCGAUGAUGUGACCGUUGGGAAGUGUUACAACCCGAGUGCGUACCGCCAUUGUCUUUGGCCGCCAAGAAUAGCGUCACCGGCGUCGGCCAUCGCGAUCCUGCCACCCUUCUACCAUGCACCAACCCAUCAACACCAUCAGCAAAACUCCGGAUCCGUGAGAACACCUAAAAGCUAAGUACCCAAUAUGUGACGUCACAAAUAAAUUGUUGUAAAAUGUUGAA